rnacentral:rRNA from 1 species
AAACUGAAGAGUUUGAUCAUGGCUCAGAUUGAACGCUGGCGGCAGGCCUAACACAUGCAAGUCGAGCGGUAACAGAUCUAGCUU